CCUACGGGGGGCAGCAGUGGGGAAUAUUGGACAAUGGGGGGAACCCUGAUCCAGCCAUGCCGCGUGUGUGAAGAAGGCCCUCGGGUUGUAAAGCACUUUCAGUGAGGAAGAACGCCUGGUGGUUAAUACCCAUCAGGAAAGACAUCACUCACAGAAGAAGCACCGGCUAACUCCGUGCCAGCAGCCGCGGUAAUACGGAGGGUGCGAGCGUUAAUCGGAAUUACUGGGCGUAAAGCGCGCGUAGGUGGCUUGAUAAGCCGGUUGUGAAAGCCCCGGGCUCAACCUGGGAACGGCAUCCGGAACUGUCAAGCUAGAGUGCAGGAGAGGAAGGUAGAAUUCCCGGUGUAGCGGUGAAAUGCGUAGAGAUCGGGAGGAAUACCAGUGGCGAAGGCGGCCUUCUGGACUGACACUGACACUGAGGUGCGAAAGCGUGGGUAGCAAACAGGAUUAGAUACCCGGGUGGUC
rnacentral:rRNA from 1 species